AUUUUUUGCCAGUGUGUGUGUCUGGCUGUCUGGUGUGCCAUGCGGAGUAGGGGGCGAGAGUUUUGUUCAGUGGUAUUGUGUAAACGUUAGUGUAGUGCGAGUUACUUUGCGUUGGUAACAUAAUCACAGUUCCACAUUUAAUAUGGCUUCUGAUGACGUUGAUUAUAUGUCAGAUGACAUAUUGUUUCAAUGUGAACAACAGGACAUAAGACCGGGCUUAAUACUUAACCACAGUCAGAAAAGAUCACAUACAAUAUAUAAACAAAAAUUGGUGAAAGAUGCAGAAAAUAAGAAAAUAUUUCCAAGAAAAAGUGUGCUUGAGGAAGAAAGGAGGGACGAAGGACUAAAAGAAGCAAUUUCCAGUGACAAUAAGGGGUUUGCCCUUCUGCAGAAAAUGGGCUACAAACCAGGAUCAGCUAUUGGAAAAUCAGGUUCAGGAAUUGUGGAGCCCGUACCAAUAGCUGUGAAGACAAAUAGAGGAGGUCUUGGGAGGGAAGCAGCAUUGAAAGAAAUUAAAGAACAAAAACUGGCAAUUAAGGCAAGAUUAUUAAAACACAGGAAUCAAUUAAAUGAUAUAGAAAGUUACAGAAGUCAGAUGACAAGAAAAAUGGAAGAACGUCAGAAUGAAGCUGAUUUAAGGAAAAGUCAGAGAAUUUGUGAGCAGCUUGACAAAAGAAAGGACAUUGACAUCCCAGCAGAACUGUGGUUUUGGCCUGAUGGUUGGUCACAGGAGGAAGAAAAUGAGUCAGAUGAAGAGGAGGAGGAGGAGGAGGAGGAGGAGGAAGAAGAAUGUGAUGGGGAUGAGGAGGAGGAGAGCAGUGAGGAAAUAACAUUUCAGACUCCAGAAAAACUGGAAAUAAUCACGUUGUAUCUAAGAAGAACAUAUCACUAUUGCAUCUGGUGUGGAACAGAAUUUGAUGAUGAAAAAGAUAUGCAGCAGAAUUGCCCUGGAAGCACAAGGGCAGAUCAUUAGUAAUCUUAUAGUUAUGAAUAAAUAAAUAAAUAAAAAGCAGCACUGGUCAACAUCAGUCGACAUAAGGCAAAUGAAGAAUGUGUUAGGGGAAACUCUUUUCUAUAUACACAUAAUGGAUAAAUGACUACAAAGUUUUAUGACUAAACAGACUGUAAAGAAAUACUUCCGAAGACUAGUCGCAGCUGAGACAUUAAUCUCAAGAAUGUGUGUUAUUGGCAGUUAAUGAUUAAAGUACCUGAGCUAUCAACAUUGAACAUAGUAGUAUUGCAUAGAUUCUUUAGAUGGUAUGCUUAUGAAAAUGGUUCAGAUGUACUGCUUCAAAAGAAUUAGUUUAUGUGCAAUAUUGCAACAUAUUUUUAAUUUUUGUCUUAUGACAAAACUUGGUUUCUUAAAACCAUGUGCCAGUAACUGCUUCAGCAAUGAAAACACGACAUAAUCAUUUAUGUGGCAAAAGGAGUUUUGUAGGUAGGAGAGCAUCUUUGCUUCUCUCAAAAACUGAACUGUGAAGAACCAUUUAAUAUAAUUGUAGUUGUUUAUUGUAUUUCAUUAUGACAUAACUUCGAACACUUGUAUAGAACUUCACAAUUCAGAAAUAUUGUAACAUAAUGAUUUUAAGAGAAUGUUAUAGUUUAAUAUUAUUCAUUGAAAAUAUUGUUCAAAAUAAAACACAAAGGAUCUUUGAACAGAACGGUUAGUGCAAAUGUCCCUCAGAUGGUUGAAAUUAGAUCGGGAGAGUGACUAUGUGGUCAUGAGGCUUUCAUGUUCCCUGGUCGCUACUUACUGUACAACAUAUUUUCUGGCAUGUGAGUAAAAGGAAGGUAGAUAUCUAGGUCAUCUAAAGGAGUAUCAUACUGAGUAUCAUACUGAAGGUGGAAGGUUAAAAGCUGGCCUUAGUUAAGUGUCUUAAGAAAAUAACAGAAAAGUUAACACAGGCUAACUGGAUGGGGAUUGCGCUCUCUCUAAUGUGAUGCCACUGUAUCACUUCAGUCAAUCAUGAUCUUACUGAUUGAAGACUUUGUGAUUGCCUAAUACAUAUAAAAUAUUCACUGAGCAAUAGAUGGGACUAUGGAAACAUAGUUUUCAAGUGUUGAAGAUUCAGACCUAAAUUCUAUUAUGACAAGAUGCAGAUCACAGAGGACAAGGUUAUUGCAAUAACAGAACAGAAAAGGCACUGUAGCCCAGGGCAUCAGUUAUAAAAGGCUGCUCAAAGUUUCCCUGGAAGAGUACAAUUUAGUCAUUAAACAUUACAGAUAAAUUUUGCUGCCACAUCACAGAUGUGCUCUGGUAACAUUUGAUAUUGUAGUGUAGUGACACCUUUUCAAAAAGGAAUGGAAAAUGAAAGAUGAGUGGCUCCUUUUGCCUGUGUUAGGGUUUAAACCAAUCCUGUUUUUCAGGGGAAAAAAGUGUAAAGGUAAAUGGUGAAACUUCUUGUAAAUGGUCGCAUACUGAAACUGUGCUAUCAUCAACAUUAGUCCCUCCUUCAAAUAGUCACACAAUUCAUAGGUAACAAACAGCAUUUCAUUAGGCUCAUACUGUCUUGGUUGUAUGUGAACUUAGGUUGUGAGAAAACAUAGCCUUCAUGAAGUGUAAAACAUAACGCACAUAAAAAAGACCCUGUUUAGAAGGAGACAAGUCUGCAAAAUUUUGACUCAGCGUGACCCCCCCCCCCCCCCCCCCCCGCCGCUGCAAAGAAUCAGUGGUAUUGGAUCUGCCAUAGUGUGGUUUUUACAUGACUUUAAUAUUGAUCAUUUGUCAGUACAAGAUGAACCAAGAGUAACUACAGUACUGCUGUAAACUGUUCUGCCAACACCGCUGGCUUCGUGGAGCAC